GAUGAAGAACGUAGCGAAAUGCGAUAAGUACUGUGAAUUGCAGAAUUCAGUGAAUCAUCGAAUCUUUGAACGCACCUUGCGCCCUUUGGCCAUUCCGAAGGGCAUGCCUGUUUGAGUAUCAUGAACACCUCAACUCUUCAUGGUUUUCCGUGAUGAGCUUGGACUUUGGGGGUCUUGCUGGCCUAUGGUCAGCUCCUCUAAAAUAAAUCAGCUUGCCAGUGCUUGGUGGGUAUCACAGGUGUGAUAACUAUCUACGCUUGUGGUUUUCCACCAGGUAACCUUCAGCAGUGGAGGUUCGCUGGAGCUCACAGAUGUGUCUCUCCUCAGUGAGGACAGCUCUUUGAAUGUUUGAUCUCAAAUCAGGUAGGACUACCCGCUGAACUUAAGCAUAUCAAUAAGCGGAGGA
rnacentral:misc_RNA from 1 species